AUUGAACGCUGGCGGCAGGCCUAACACAUGCAAGUCGAGCGAGCGGCGGACGGGUGCGUAAUGUCUGGGGACUGCCCGAUAGAGGGGGAUAACUACUGGAAACGGUAGCUAAUACCGCAUACUAUCGGAUCACCCAUAUGGGCUUAGCUAGUAGGUGAGGUAAUGGCUCACCUCGGCGACGAUCCCUAGCUGGUCUGAGAGGAUGAUCAGCAACACUGGGACUGGGACACGGCCCAGACUCCUACGGAGGCAGCAGUGGGGAAUAUUGCACAAUGGGCGCAAGCCGGAUGCAGCCAUGCCGGGUGUAUGAAGAAGGCCCUAGGGUUGGAAAGUACUUUCAGUCGGGAGGCGUUACCGACAGAAGAAGCACCGGCUAACUCCGUGCCAGCAGCCGCGGUAAUAC
rnacentral:rRNA from 1 species